UACGUAGGGCGCAAGCGUUGUCCGGAAUUAUUGGGCGUAAAGAGCUCGUAGGCGGUCUGUUACGUCCGCUGUGAAAACCCAGGGCUUAACCCUGGGCUUGCAGUGGAUACGGGUAGACUAGAGGCAGGUAGGGGAGAAUGGAAUUCCCGGUGUAGCGGUGAAAUGCGUAGAUAUCAGGAGGAACACCAAUGGCGAAGGCAGCUCGCUGGGACGGUACUGACGCUGAGGCGCGAAAGCGUGGGGAGCAAACAGG
rnacentral:rRNA from 1 species